UUACUGAGUUUACGCUCUAUAACCCUUUGUGAACAUACCUAUAACUGUUGCUUCGGCGGGUAGGGUCUCCGUGACCCUCCCGGCCUCCCGCCCCCGGGCGGGUCGGCGCCCGCCGGAGGAUAACCAAACUCUGAUUUAACGACGUUUCUUCUGAGUGGUACAAGCAAAUAAUCAAAACUUUUAACAACGGAUCUCUUGGUUCUGGCAUCGAUGAAGAACGCAGCGAAAUGCGAUAAGUAAUGUGAAUUGCAGAAUUCAGUGAAUCAUCGAAUCUUUGAACGCACAUUGCGCCCGCCAGCAUUCUGGCGGGCAUGCCUGUUCGAGCGUCAUUUCAACCCUCAAGCUCUGCUUGGUGUUGGGGCCCUACAGCUGAUGUAGGCCCUCAAAGGUAGUGGCGGACCCUCCCGGAGCCUCCUUUGCGUAGUAACUUUACGUCUCGCACUGGGAUCCGGAGGGACUCUUGCCGUAAAACCCCCAAUUUUCCAAAGGUUGACCUCGGAUCAGGUAGGAAUACCCGCUGAACUUAAGCAUAUCAAUAAGCGGAGGAAAAGAAACCAACAGGGAUUGCCUCAGUAACGGCGAGUGAAGCGGCAACAGCUCAAAUUUGAAAUCUGG
rnacentral:rRNA from 1 species